rnacentral:rRNA from 1 species
UAUCUCUGUAGAGUCUGCAUAUCAAUAAGCGGAGGAAAAGAAACUAACAAGGAUUCCCUUAGUAACGGCGAGUGAAGCGGGAAGAGCUCAAAUUUGAAAUCUUCAAGGUUCUACCUUGACGAAUUGUAGUUUAAAGAAGUGUUUUCUGUUGGUGUUUUGGUAAAAGUUCUUUGGAAUAGGACAUCAUAGAGGGUGAGAAUCCCGUAUUUGACCAUUACUUCCAGCGUUGUGAUACACUUUCAAAGAGUCGGAUUGUUUGGGAAUGCAGUCCAAAAUGGGUGGUAAAUUUCAUCUAAAGCUAAAUAUUGGCGAGAGACCGAUAGCGAACAAGUACCGUGAGGGAAAGAUGAAAAGAACUUUGAAAAGAGAGUUAAACAGUACGUGAAAUUGUCAAAAGGGAAGCGUUUGACACCAGUGUUGUUUUCUCGAAAAUCAAUUAAAAAAGGCAGGAUUUUGUGUUGUAUUGACUUUAUCAGCUUUCUGCACUCUUUUCUUGUCUUUUUUAAUGCACUUUUCGUUUAACAAGUCAACAUCAAUUUCUUUUGUUGUAAAAGAGUAUUCGGAAGGUGGCUUUCUUUUCGGAGAAAGUGUUUAUAGCCCUAUACUUCUACAAUCGGAGAGAUUGAGGUCUGCAGCGUAGAUCCUUCGGGGUUAGAUACACUUUGUGCUAAGUUAUAGCCUUCAUAGACAACUUGUUGACUAUGAUCAGUCAUGUAGCUUACUCGCUUAUGCUAUUUUACCUACGCUUAGGAUGUUGAAGAUGUAGCACAUCAU